CUACGGGGUGCUCCAGUGGGGAAUAUUGCACAAUGGGCGCAAGCCUGAUGCAGCGACGCCGCGUGAAGGAUGAAGUAUUUCGGUAUGUAAACUUCUAUCAGCAGGGAAGAAAAUGACGGUACCUGACUAAGAAGCCCCGGCUAACUACGUGCCAGCAGCCGCGGUAAUACGUAGGGGGCAAGCGUUAUCCGGAUUUACUGGGUGUAAAGGGAGCGUAGAUGGCGUGGCAAGUCUGAAGUGAAAGCCCGGGGCUCAACCCCGGGACUGCUUUGGAAACUGUCAUGCUAGAGUGCAGGAGGGGCAGGCGGAAUUCCUAGUGUAGCGGUGAAAUGCGUAGAUAUUAGGAGGAACACCAGUGGCGAAGGCGGCCUGCUGGACUGUAACUGACAUUGAGGCUCGAAAGUGUGGGGAGCAAACAGGAUUAGAUACCCGUGUAGUC
rnacentral:rRNA from 1 species